rnacentral:tRNA from 1 species
GGAGAUACUGUGGCUCAGCGGAAGAGACUCUGGUUUGCAAGCAGAAGGUACCAGGUUCAGUUCCUGACAUCUCCA